UGUUGAGCGGCUGGUAUCACCCCUCCCCCAUUAUCCCCCAUGUUGUUCCACCUCCUUGUGGGAGGAGCCAGGCGAGGCCACAGAUCAGACUCCUCCAUCUCAUCCCACCAACUCUGUCAGUCCACCAGGCCACUGCAGUAACAGCCAUAUCUUCACAUCACGUAGCUUCAGUACCAUCUCAAUGUGUUGAAGCACCAUCCUGGAUCCUGUGGCAACGUCAAUAUGAAACAGCAUUGACCCGUGAUCACCACCAACCAGGGCUCCACAGCGGUGUCCUUUGAUGCCCAGGAUUUGCUCAAGAUCAACUAAAGGAGAUUUGGAUGGCCCCUUGUCAGUGGCCCUAGGAGUGAAGGGCCCGACAGGCAUACUGCAAAUCAUAAUAACUUCCCACCAUAAACGGACCAGGCAGCGUGGUGAGAAGCAGCAGUGCUUUCUGGAGGAAUGGACAUGGGAGGAGAUAUUGGAAGGUA